rnacentral:lncRNA from 1 species
UGGGGAUUGAACCCAGGGCCUUGUACGUUCAAGGUAAACACUCUAUGAACUGAGCUACAACCCCAGCUGAGACUGAUAACUUUUCCAAGUCAGUAUUGUCUGACUUUGCAAAUAGAUCCAGAAAGAUCUUUGUGAUGGCCUGCAGAGGUUCUGUCUCAUUGGCUUGGGUGGGGUCUGGGAUCUGGGCCUCCUCAUGGCUACUCUACUUUACAAGUAUAAAACCUCACAGAGCCUGGGACCCAGAAAAUUCUCAGUAGGUGUUAGUUGAAUCUGCUCUUGAUCUUAUCCAAUGUAAACUCAAAAUGCUGUGGAGAUGAGAGAUGGACAUGUUAACUUGGUACGGAUUGUGGGGCACAGUGCCCGUUCUCCCUGUGAAUCCCUGGGAACUGAUGUGUGUCCCAGAAUUUGUAUUCCUAAGCUGAGACUGGAGCUAUACACUGCAAAGUAAGACAUCUAUCAUUUGUUUUAGUGUUGCUCUAAUUAAAAAUGAGUUUUCAAGUUCUGAAGAUGAAAUCAGGGUUAAGUCCUUUGCUUCUGAAUGAGUGGGGGGGUCUCCUCAGAGGGCCCAGCCUCAGGGUCGUGAAAGCAAGGCUAACUCAUUCUACUUCCUUCUAGACCCCAGGAAUGAGGAAUGGGAGGACCCCCUGCAUCCUGGGAAACAGGCCCAGCCCCACCCAGCUGGUCCCACCCCCUGCAGUAGGAGGAGUUAC